CAUUCAAUUUAUGACACCAUUUAUUCUGUUUCAUUUUUUUGUAGCAUUUCUUAUGUUCUGGAGCAGUGUUCAGCAGGUAAUAGGGGCUCCAGUUCCCAACCAUAGGGUCCUCCUCUUGGCCACAGCAGAUGAAGAUCUGGGUGGAUAUCUGGCCUGGCUUGGCUGAUCAGCUUCCCUCCUCUGGAAAUCUGGUGUUAGGGGUGAGAGAUUCUCAGCCUGUCUUGGCAGUGCCUCUGUGGCACCUGAUUCCAGGGCUGCCAACAGCUUCAGUCUGCCUGGGACUGAGGGGCUUCCUGAUCUCCAAGAGCUCCUCACUGGCUCUGGAUCUGUGAACCGGGUCAUAGGUGUCACCCUCUCAUCGGCAAUGGGCCUCUUGGCACUGGUCAGGGCAAAGGGCUGAGAUGUCUCUGCAUCAGUUAUUCUUCAUCCAAGAGCUCUCAGCCAGAGCUGGGCAAAGGCCGAUCCUCUGUUCCCCCAUCCUUUGAGCAGGGAACCACUGUGUACUCAUAGGAGUGCCUGACAUUUCAGAGGAACUCAAUGCGUUUAGCUGCUCUUGUUAUUGUUUUUCCUGACCCAGCUGGACCUUGUAGAAAGCCAGCUUCUGAGGGCCAAUUCAUCUGAAUAGAAAUGAACAGAGGUUGAUUAUUCUUAUCCUGUAAGUCACACCCUAGCAAAAACCAACAGUUAGCAGCAUUUAUUUUGUACUUAGAAUGAGCCAGACUCUGUGCUAGAUGCCUACAUGAGUUAGCUCAUUUAGCCUUACAACAAACCUGUGCACCACGGGCAUGCACCAGCAUUCCCAUUCUACAGAUGAAAACAUUGAGGCAGAGAGAGGAUACAGAAUUUAACCAAGGUCACAGAGUGCGAUAAAUGGGUGACUUGUGCCUUAUAAAUUUUCAUGACAAGCUCUAUACAAGCACCACAGAACACUUGAAAAAGAAAAACAACCCACUCGUCACACCCUUCCAGACCAUCAGAGUAGAAAUUGCCAUUUGUUGAGAACAUAUGGACCCGAUCCAAGGAUAGGUGGGCCUCCUGCAUUCCCUUUAAUUCUCAAGGAGUCCAUAGGCAGACUGUUGUCUUAGUCCCUUUUUUGCUGCUGUAACAGAAGACCUGAGACUGGGUGAUAUACAACAAACAGAAAUUUUUCUGGAAACUGGGAAGCCCAAGAUUGAGGCACUAGUGUCUGGCAAGGGCCUUCUUGCUGCAUCAUCACAUGACGGAAGACAUGAGGACAAGAGCAUCUGAGAGUGAACCGACUUCUGCAAGCCCUUUUUUAUAAUGGCAUUAAUCCAUUCACGAGGGUAAGGCCCUCACAACCUCAACACCUCCCAUUCGGCCCCACCUCCUAACAUGGUUGCAUUGGGGAUUGUUUCUGACACAUGAAUUCUAGAGGACACAUUUUGACUAUAGUGACUGUGAUGCUUGCUGUGCAGACAGAGAAACAGGCCCAGCAGACAGGUGAGCUCUGCUGCCUGGGUGACUCAGCCAAUGGGUGAUGGAGCCU
rnacentral:lncRNA from 10 species